GGUUCUGGGAUAGGAUCUGGCCUCAUGAACAGCAAAUGAGAUGAUGCCAGUUAAGCAAAGCCAACACAACUUGGGCUCAAGCAGCCAAAGGCCAAAUUGGAGGCUCUAGAUCCUUCCAGCUUCAGGUCGGGCAGGAUUGUUCCUGGGAACUAGAAGGAGACCCACUGCAGGCACUAUGCAAAGCCAGAGGGGAGAACCCGAAGACAUAAGACGUGGUCUUUCCUGGGGAGGUUCCCCAUCUAGUAGGAGAGAGACACAAGUGGAUGGAUGGCCCAGAUGCAGGAUAGUUAGAGGUCCACUCAAGGUCAAGUUCUAUGCUGUGAGACUCCACGGAAACAGUUCCAUCUCCCCCGUGGAGUCUGAACUAGAUCCACUAAAAGGCCAGUUUCAAAGGCCAUCUGAGACCCAGAUGGUGCUUGAACAAAAAUGGUCAGCGGUAACUCAUCAACCUGGAUUCCCGAGGAAGAAGAGUGCCAGCAAGGCCACCAUCUCAGAACUGGCAAACUGCAAGACUGUCCUCUGGUCUAACCACCACCCCUCUUCCGCGUUCCUGCCACACGGGUGCACCCCUACCUACCGGGACAGGAAUCCCACUACGUUCUUUUCCUCUUACUAAAAGGAUAAACUUUAAACUCUUUUGCUUUUUCCGUGUGCUUCGAGAUGAUGUUUGAAAUACAUACAAACCCUUCCCUUCAUCAAAUUUCGCUGAAAUAAUAGAAAGGCACGUAAAAAGAAUAUAUUCAUAUCUGCCCAAGAAAAUGAGAAAUCAUGGCUCCAGGAGAACAGAGAAAUUUGAAGACUUUCUAGAAGACAAAAAGCAGAUAGAAUCCAAUUUAUGGAGAAAACCAGAGUGGUUAAAUCAGCAUGGAGAAAUUGACUAAGGAGAUGUAAGCUGUUCUCUCCAACAGAAUCUUGGGGAGACUCCCAGUUUAGGGAGCAGGGAGCAGGCCAUGGUGUAGACAUCAGGCAAAGAACUAUUGAAUAAACAGGCAGCAGUCUCUUUCUCUCCCGA